rnacentral:rRNA from 1 species
CCUACGGGAGGCAGCAGUGGGGAAUAUUGGGCAAUGGGGGGAACCCUGAUCCAGCCAUGCCGCGUGUGUGAAGAAGGCCCUCGGGUUGUAAAGCACUUUCAGUGAGGAAGAACGCCUGGUGGUUAAUACCCAUCAGGAAAGACAUCACUCACAGAAGAAGCACCGGCUAACUCCGUGCCAGCAGCCGCGGUAAUACGGAGGGUGCGAGCGUUAAUCGGAAUUACUGGGCGUAAAGCGCGCGUAGGUGGCUUGAUAAGCCGGUUGUGAAAGCCCCGGGCUCAACCUGGGAACGGCAUCCGGAACUGUCAAGCUAGAGUGCAGGAGAGGAAGGUAGAAUUCCCGGUGUAGCGGUGAAAUGCGUAGAGAUCGGGAGGAAUACCAGUGGCGAAGGCGGCCUUCUGGACUGACACUGACACUGAGGUGCGAAAGCGUGGGUAGCAAACAGGAUUAGAUACCCGUGUAGUC